GGCAUCACCAGUCAUGGUAUUUAUUUAUGCCCCCAAAAUCAGGAGGCCCAUAAAAGCUGCAUUGGCUGCUGCCUCAGAGCAUCUUGCUGGUUUGCUUCCUCUUCAUCUUGUCUACAGUCAAGCUCAUGGAACUGCUAUUGAGGAUUGGAUAUGGUCGGUAGGAUGCAACCCUUUUUCUGUUACUUCUCAAGGCUGGCAUAUAUCACAGUAUUAGUCUGAUACAAUUGCCCGGAGCUAUAUCAUCACAACGCUUGAAGAGUCUAGUCAACUGGUUAAUUCAGCCAUUCAUCUUCUAGUCAUGGAGCAUACAAUGGAAAAUACCUUUCAACUCUUUCAGGGUCAGGAGCGUGAGCUAGUGAACAAAUAUAAUUACGUUGUAAGCUUGUGGAGAAGGGUUUCAACUGUUACUGGAGAAUUGCGUUAUGUGGAUGCCCUAAGGCUGCUAUAUAUUCUAGAGGAAGGAUCGAAA